rnacentral:rRNA from 1 species
GAUGAACGCUGGCGGCGUGCCUAAUACAUGCAAGUCGAGCGAACAGACGAGGAGCUUGCUCCUCUGACGUUAGCGGCGGAAGGGUGAGUAACACGUGGAUAACCUACCUAUAAGACUGGGAUAACUUCGGGAAACAGGAGCUAAUACCGGAUAAUAUAUUGAACCGCAUGGUUCAAUAAUGAAAGACGGUUUUGCUGUCACUUAUAGAUGGAUCCGCGCCGCAUUAGCUAGUUGGUAAGGUAACGGCUUACCAAGGCAACGAUGCGUAGCCGACCUGAGAGGGUGAUCGGCCACACUGGAACUGAGACACGGUCCAGACUCCUACGGGAGGCAGCAGUAGGGAAUCUUCCGCAAUGGGCGAAAGCCUGACGGAGCAACGCCGCGUGAGUGAUGAAGGUCUUCGGAUCGUAAAACUCUGUUAUUAGGGAAGAACAAAUGUGUAAGUAACUAUGCACGUCUUGACGGUACCUAAUCAGAAAGCCACGGCUAACUACGUG